GGGUUGUGAGGUUAAGCGACUAAGCGUACACGGUGGAUGCCCUGGCAGUCAGAGGCGAUGAAGGACGUGCUAAUCUGCGAUAAGCGCCGGUAAGGUGAUAUGAACCGUUAUAACCGGCGAUUUCCGAAUGGGGAAACCCAGUGUGACUCGUCACACUAUCAUUAACUGAAUCCAUAGGUUAAUGAGGCGAACCGGGGGAACUGAAACAUCUAAGUACCCCGAGGAAAAGAAAUCAACCGAGAUUCCCCCAGUAGCGGCGAGCGAACGGGGAGGAGCCCAGAGCCUGAAUCAGCAUGUGUGUUAGUGGAAGCGUCUGGAAAGGCGCGCGAUACAGGGUGACAGCCCCGUACACAAAAGCGCAUGUGCUGUGAGCUCGAUGAGUAGGGCGGGACACGUGGUAUCCUGUCUGAAUAUGGGGGGACCAUCCUCCAAGGCUAAAUACUCCUGACUGACCGAUAGUGAACCAGUACCGUGAGGGAAAGGCGAAAAGAACCCCGGCGAGGGGAGUGAAAAAGAACCUGAAACCGUGUACGUACAAGCAGUGGGAGCCUCUUUUAUGGGGUGACUGCGUACCUUUUGUAUAAUGGGUCAGCGACUUAUAUUCUGUAGCAAGGUUAACCGUAUAGGGGAGCCGGAGGGAAACCGAGUCUUAACCGGGCGUUAAGUUGCAGGGUAUAGACCCGAAACCCGGUGAUCUAGCCAUGGGCAGGUUGAAGGUUGGGUAACACUAACUGGAGGACCGAACCGACUAAUGUUGAAAAAUUAGCGGAUGACCUGUGGCUGGGGGUGAAAGGCCAAUCAAACCGGGAGAUAGCUGGUUCUCCCCGAAAGCUAUUUAGGUAGCGCCUCGUGAAUUCAUCUCCGGGGGUAGAGCACUGUUUCGGCUAGGGGGCCAUCCCGGCUUACCAACCCGAUGCAAACUGCGAAUACCGGAGAAUGUUAUCACGGGAGACACACGGCGGGUGCUAACGUCCGUCGUGAAGAGGGAAACAACCCAGACCGCCAGCUAAGGUCCCAAAGUCAUGGUUAAGUGGGAAACGAUGUGGGAAGGCCCAGACAGCCAGGAUGUUGGCUUAGAAGCAGCCAUCAUUUAAAGAAAGCGUAAUAGCUCACUGGUCGAGUCGGCCUGCGCGGAAGAUGUAACGGGGCUAAACCAU
rnacentral:rRNA from 1 species